UACGUAGGUGGCAAGCGUUAUCCGGAAUUAUUGGGCGUAAAGAGGGAGCAGGCGGCAGCAAAGGUCUGUGGUGAAAGACUGAAGCUUAACUUCAGUAAGCCAUAGAAACCGGGCAGCUAGAGUGCAGGAGAGGAUCGUGGAAUUCCAUGUGUAGCGGUGAAAUGCGUAGAUAUAUGGAGGAACACCAGUGGCAAAGGCGACGAUCUGGCCUGCAACUGACGCUCAGUCCCGAAAGCGUGGGGAGCAAAUAGG
rnacentral:rRNA from 1 species